rnacentral:rRNA from 1 species
AUUGAACGCUGGCGGCAUGCCUUACACAUGCAAGUCGAACGGCAGCACGGGAGUAAUCCUGGUGGCGAGUGGCGAACGGGUGAGUAAUAUAUCGGAACGUGCCCAGUCGUGGGGGAUAACGUAGCGAAAGCUACGCUAAUACCGCAUACGAUCUACGGAUGAAAGCGGGGGAUCGCAAGACCUCGCGCGAUUGGAGCGGCCGAUAUCAGAUUAGCUAGUUGGUGAGGUAAAGGCUCACCAAGGCGACGAUCUGUAGCUGGUCUGAGAGGACGACCAGCCACACUGGAACUGAGACACGGUCCAGACUCCUACGGGAGGCAGCAGUGGGGAAUUUUGGACAAUGGGCGCAAGCCUGAUCCAGCAAUGCCGCGUGCAGGAUGAAGGCCUUCGGGUUGUAAACUGCUUUUGUACGGAACGAAACGGCUCUUUCUAAUACAAGGGGCUAAUGACGGUACCGUAAGAAUAAGCACCGGCUAACUACGUGCCAGCCGCCGCAGUAAGAC